GACGAACGCUGGCGGCGUGCUUAACACAUGCAAGUCGAACGGAAAAGCCCUGCUCUUGUGGGGUGCGCGAGUGGCGAACGCGGGUGUAACACGUGAGUAACCUGCCCUUGACUUUGGGAGAUCUUCAGGAAACUGGGGCUAAUACCGGAUAGGAGCUCCGGCUGCAUGGUGGGGGUGGGAGAGUUUCGGCGGUUGGGGAUGGACUCGCGGCUUAUCAGCUUGUUGGUGGGGUAAUGGCUUACCAAGGCGUUGACGGGUAGCCGGCCUGAGAGGGUGACCGGCCACAUUGGGACUGAGAUACGGCCCAGACUCCUACGGGAGGCAGCAGUGGGGAAUAUUGCACAAUGGGCGGAAGCCUGAUGCAGCAACGCCGCGUGAGGGAUGACGGCCUUCGGGUUGUAAACCGCUUUCGCCUGUGACGAAGCGUGAGUGACGGUAAUGGGUAAAGAAGCACCGGCUAACUACGUG
rnacentral:rRNA from 1 species